UCGUCCUCACAUUCAACCUUUAAAAAUACUUUUUGAAAAAGAUUAGAAUUUAAUUAACUCUAAAAAUUGCUUUCGCCCUGAUUUAGAAUUAAUGUCCAAUUUACACUGUCCAGUUAAAAACUCAAACUUUCGUUCUAUUGAUUUUAACUUCUUUAUGUCUUUUACUCUCGUACAAAAACUUUGGGAUUAACCCUGUAAAUUGAGGCCAUAAAAAGAGUGACUUUAUUUUUAAAUGAAAUUAAACCAACUUAGUUUUGAUUCCUUCAUUCCGCUUACUUUACAUACCGAUAUCUAAUUUAAUUAGCCGGACAUGGCAAACACGCAUAAAUAAUAAUCAUGCAUAAAUACGGCCAUAUCAACCAAACAAUAUAUAUAAACAGCAGCACAAAGCAUAUGUAAAUUAAAACAAUAACUCAAUUAAUUAAUGAACCUGGUAAAUUUCUAGAAAUCUUGAUUUUGUUCCUAGCUUCGAUGCUCGAACACUCCACCACAAGUCGGUUGGAUUUGUUCUUCACAAUUCUUAAUCAGACAGGUAAAUAAAAAAAACAAGGAAAUAAAAUACUAUGAUCUAACGUAAGGUUAGAUCCAGUAAAAAUUACACAAUAGUUUCCGGUGUAGAAACUAUUGUGUGAAAAAUUAGUUAAGUGCUUAAAAAUUGACUGGAAAA
rnacentral:lncRNA from 1 species